UUUUCUUUAAUUCGAGAAAUUUGAUAAUGGAAGGCUGUGAGGUAAAUCCCACUUCUGAGGAUCUAUGGUUGGAAACUGCGAGAGCAGCUUUGUCCGCGAAGGCGGACGUCGGAAUGUGUCGCACCGAUAGCAUAGCACAACCGGUGCGACACAUUCCGACGUCUAUCAGAAUCUGAAUAAAGGCCGCGGAAUUGGAGAAGGAAGUAAAAGUGAAAAGAAGAAUGAAUCGAAAGGCCCUUCGAAACAUUUCCCGAAUUCAGUGCAAUUGUGGGAAGCUGCCGUCAAAUUGAAGGCGUUUGCACGACUGAGCAAAAUGCAUGCAUCCUCGUACAUGCGAGCCCGAGAAUGCAUGUAUUUUGCUUAGUCAUGCGAUUGAAUGCUGUCCGACUAGUGUGGCUUUAUGGCUCACUCUCGCUAGAUUAGAGACCUACGACAAUGCGAAAAUAGUCUUGAUUUUUUAUAUCUGUCGGGAUAUUUUCUUGAACAAGGCCCAAGAAAAUAUCCCGACAGAUAUACAAACUUGGACUACCUCCGCGAAAUUGGAAGACGUAAACGGCAAUAAGCACAUAAUAGAGAAGAUUAUCAAUCACGCUAUAUCUUCGCGAAUGGGGUGGAAAUCAACAGGAAAUACUGGUUCAAGGAAGCUAUUGCAGCUGAGAAGGCGGGAGCGAUGCAUUGUUAUCAAGUUAUUUUCAAGGCUAUUAUCAGUUUUGGAGUAGAAGAAAAGGAUAAAAGCAUACUUGGAUGGAAGAUAUGGAAACUUAUGCUCAAUAAGGGGCAUUAGAAUGCGCGAGAGCUGUCUAUGCGCACAUUUCCUAAUAAGAUAUCAAUUUGCCUGCACACGGUUUAUUUCAAAAAGACAUGUGGUACGCGAGAAUCUUUGGAAGCUUUGUUACAGAAAGCAGUCGCUGAUUACCCCAAGAGUGAUGCGCUGUGGCUAAUGGAUGCUAAGUCCAAGUUGGCUAUCCAGAGACAAAAAAUAGGAGCGAGGAAGAAUCGAGGAGGACCGAGGAGAAAAGUGCAACGCAGAUUCAGUUAAAUAA